UUUCAAAGUGAUAGGUUUGAGGCCUCAAUGAAUGAAGGAUAAGUCGUCUAAAAUUUCAUUUUAAUUAGCGCUUUUCAAAUAGUACUGUUUUCCUGUCUGUUUUCCUCAACCAGGUUGUGCCAUGCCCAUGGUCAGGAAAGGUUUUAUUUCUUUGUACUUCCAGCGUUGAACAUCGUGUGUCCAAUACUUUGCUGGUGCUCAAAUAACAUGCCCACCCACGAGGUAGGCCCUACAGGAUCUGGCCCCGUGGGUCAGUAAUUAAACAGAUCAUGGAAUGGCAUGACCGCAGUCUGGCCGCUCCUCUUCCCCUCUGUGUCCCCAAACUACGAGCAAGGUGAGGAAAGUGCACUAUCCAUCCGAGAACCUCCCAAUGUCCCGGCGGAAUGAAACAAGCUGCCUGACCCGCCCGGGGUGCUUCAGUCCUCCAAGGCACAGAACACUAUUCUCUCCGCUUCCUUAAGCAGAGAGGACCCAGGUACUGUCCUCUCCUCCAAACCCAACCCUGAGAACGACCCCUCCCCAACCCGGCCCCACAAAUGCUCCAUUCCCAAGCCGAAGCCUGGGCGCCCAGAACUGCCCAGAGCUUCCCAGAGGGGAGGCGCCGCGGUGCACUGUGGGAGUCGUAGUUCCCCGGUGAGUUUCGCACCCCGACGGCCCUGCGGACCGGACUUUCGCUCCCAGAAGCCCCCGCGCGGGCGCCUCGCUCAACCCGGCCGCCUCACCUGUUCUAUGGACGUGACUGUUUCCACCGAGUCGUCCUGCAACCGCUCCCGCGCGUGCUCCGGCCUCAGACUGUACAGCGGCUCUGACCACACAGGUGCACCUAAAGCAAUUGCAAAUUGUAUUUGAAAAUAGAAAUCCGUUUCUGAAAUGCAGUCUCCUCUACAAUAGGAUCCGAAAGGGACAUGGCAAGAGUCUCCUGCAGGAUGCUGUCUAUUCAUUCAAUAGGUAUUUAUUGAGUACCCAUUAUGUGCUGGGCACUGAGUUAAGUGCUGAGGAGACAGUGGUGAAAAGCCAGACACAGUCUCAACCGUUACAGGGCUCAUGACUUACCAGAAGAAACAGACAUUAAACAAUUAUUACAAAAUUGACCAUUUCAUUACAGUUGGGGGAAAUGGCAUGAGGGGGAAAAGAAGCAUAGGCCAUUGUGAGAUUGUGUAACAGGGGAAACUUACUACGGUAGCCUGGAAGAUCAGGAAAGACUCACAUGAGGAACUGAAUUAAUAAAGGCAGGGUGAGGAGACAUCCCAGGCAGAGAAAAUUCAGUGACAACCAAAAAAAUCAAGUGACACAUAGAAUGAAAAAUAUGGGGACUUUGUACUCUCCAUAGCCCUGAGAGGACUCUUCAGCCUUGGAUCAGCAGUGGCCCACCAGUUAUCCUUCCUCUAGGUUUGAUAAAACCACUGAUUCAAGAAGCAGAAUGAACGUACAUACUGGCAGUAUGGCAAAGGAUGAUGUACUUAGAGGAGAAAAUAAUGAUAAUUAAUAGCAACUCCAGCCUGGACUACAGAUGGUUUGUGUUUAUUUGACUCAAAUGCCUGAUCUCUUUCUAAAUUAAGCUGUGAAUUAUAGUUGUUUCUUUAAAAAUAAUAUAAAAUGUUGAUAGUACUGUUUUGUACUUUCAAGAGCAAGAAAACAAGAAAAAAAAAUAAUGACCUAAAUGAACCACUAGAGGUCGCUCCUGACCCUAGAGGAAGCUUCUCCAGUAGGCUUCAAAACUGCUCUCACUGCAUUAGUCACAGAACCCCAUAUGUCGGCAUGAAUUGUUUCUUUUAGUAUAAUAUCUUGUGAAAGUAUGUGAUCAUACACAUCUUGCAAAGAUUAGAAUAUGGAAAUAACUGAUCUAUUAUCCCGCUAGAUCAUUCAGUUUCCUCUCCACAUCUCCUCUUCUACCAGCAUUUGUGACCUCUUAUUCUGUCCUCCCUGGUCCUCCUGUUUCCCUGGACAGAAUGACUGCCCAGCUCUUUCUGACAUAGGGCCAGCCCCCCCCACCUGUCCUCAUGUGCAGCCCCGCCCCUCAUGCCCCACCCCAGGAUGUCACUCCAGCAGUUCUCCCUUGCCUCUCUUAAAACAUCAUAUCCCUGUACUUGAUUAUGUCCAUCACCCUCAAACAGGCUACUUCUCCAUUUGGGGGGAGGGAGGGGGAGAAACUUUUAACGCUUUUGCUUCCACCCUCCUUCAGCUACCUUCCUAUUACUCAUUUCCUCCCUACCAAUGUCUCUAAUUCCUCUUCUCCAAGUACCUCUUGAACCCAUUCCCAUAGGACUUCCCCAGCAACUCUUGUCAAGUCCCAGUGAAACUCCAUGUUGCUAAAUCCAAGGGCCAGUUCUCAGUCCUUAUCUGUCUUCCUGCUUGACUUCCUAGCAAUAUUUGUUAUUAACAUUCCCUUCUCACCGAAAUAUUUUCUUUCCUGUAAUGUCCAGCACUAGCCUUUGCUACUGCUUCAUCUUCCUGACACCUUAACUUUGGAGCACCCCAGGGCUCUGUCUACACUCAUCUCCUGUGAACUCGAUUAGUCUCAAUGUUUUAAAUACCACCAUUGGGUUGAAAAUUGCCUCAUUUAUAUCUCCAGCCUGGAUCUCUCUCCUGAAGUCUGAGUUCAUAUCUAAUACCCUGUUUUCAUUUUCACUUACAUAGCUAACAAGCAUCUCAAAUAGUAUGUCCGCAACAGAGCCUUCUGGCCUUCCCUUCCAAACCUACGCACUCAGUCUUCCCCAUCUCAGUUAUGCUAACUUCAUGCCUCCGCUUGGAGUCCAUUCUUGAUGCCUCUCUUUCUCUCACUCCCCAUAAAUCCCGUUGACGAUAUAUCCAGAAUCUGACCACUGCUUACCGAUUCCAUUGCUAGUGUUCCGGUCCAAACCAGGUUACUGUUACGUGGAUUCUUACACUCAUCUCUUAACUCCUCAUUUUCCUUGUUUGUGCUCUUGCCCCCCCAUGCAGCUGAGUAUAAACUCAAAAGCCAGACUAAACCCUUUCAAUAUAAGCAAAGUUACCCUUUUGCUCAAAGCUUUCUUCUCAUCUCACUCAGAGUCAACAUCAAGGUCCUUAACCAUGGCCUAGAGGGCCCUAAUGAGCUGGCCUUUUCUCCUUGUACUCUCCUACUUGCUCACUCUGUCCCCCUGCAGGGGCCGCCUUCCUUUCUUUGUACACUCCAGGCACAUGCCAGCCUCAGAGCGCUUAUGCUCGCUAUUCCCUCUCUGCAAUGCUCUGCCCCCAGGUAUAGACGAGGCUUGUCUGCCCACAUCUUAUAGUCUUUACUCAAAUUCUUUACUUAAAUUCCUUUAACUUCAGGCCUUUCCUGACCUCCACAUAUAAAUUGAAAUGCCAUCAUCCUGCACUAAUACUGUCUUUAUUUUUCUCCAUAGCACUUUAUCACCAGCUGACAGACCUUAUGUUUAAUGCAUUUAUUUUAUUUACCAGAAUAAAAGCUCUCAAGGCAGA